rnacentral:rRNA from 1 species
GACGUAGGGCGCGAGCGUUGUCCGGAUUUAUUGGGCGUAAAGAGCGUGUAGGCGGCCAGGUAGGUCUGCCUGUGAAAACUCGAGGCUCAACCUCGAGACGUCGGCGGAAACCAUCUGGCUAGAGUCCGGAAGAGGAGAGUGGAAUUCCUGGAUGUAGCGGUGAAAUGCGCAGAUAUCAGGAAGAACACCCGUGGCGGAAGGCGGCUCUCGUGGGACGGUACUGACGCUGAGACGCGAAAGCGUGGGGAGCGAACAGG